GAGAGAUCUCUGCCCUCAGUCGUUUAACUAUUUAAACGUCAUCCCAUCAGACGGUUAAACUACUAUGAACAUUUUGGUGCUAAAUGGAAUGAGGGUAGUCAUCCCUCUCAU
rnacentral:pre_miRNA from 1 species